rnacentral:lncRNA from 1 species
UGAGAUUUAAAUUCUUAGAAAGCUUAAAACUAAAAUAGUUCUCAAUCGUUGGAUUACUAAAUUGGGGAUUAGUGAAUCCGGAUAGAUUGGUACAUACGUUGCUUGCUCAUUGGAUGAGGAUGAUUGAUCUCAUGAUCAUUUGUGUGGAGACACUAAAGCAUGUAUGUAGGUGCUAAAACAUUCCUCCAUGAAAGAUUUGGGAAGAGUAUCUUAAUUGGGGAUACAAAUAUAUAUAGAUAGAUUUAAGAGGAUGCUUGACUUAACCCAAGGAAUGUAUAUUCAUUUGAUUCUAAAGUCAUUUGGCAUGGAAAACUCCAAGAGUUGUCUCAUUUUGAUGAGCCAUAGAGUGUAUCUCUCUUAAUAGUCCCCAUGGACUCAUAAAAGAGAGAUCAAAUGAGUAACUAUCAUGUAUGCAAUGAAAUGUACGAGACAUGAUGUUAAUCAGUUAUAUUCUGGAGAAGUUCAUUAUGAGUCAGUUAAAAACAUCUUAAAGUACUUAACCGACACUAAGGGUGUGAUCAUAUUCAUGGUGGGUCUAAAUUAAAAUUUGAGGGCUUAACAGAUUCAAGUUUUUCAAACAGACCAAGAUGACAGAAAAUCACCUUUAAGGUAAAUGGUUACCUUGAACGGUGGUGCAGUGAAUUGGAAAGGUUUCGAACAGAAAAGAGUUUCUAGUUUAGUGAUAAAGACAAAUUAUAUAGCUAUAAAAGACGCUAAAAGUUGAUUGUUUGGAUGAAAAGUUCAUUACAGAAAUAGGAAUAGUUUAUAAGUCUCAUCUUGGAUCUAAACAUGUGUUGUGGCACUUUCAUUUGAUUAUAGGAAUCACUGAAAGAUGGGAAAUAACUAUACAGAUAAUGGACUCUCAAGAACAACAUUACAUAUCCAUUAACUAAAGCUUGUCCAAUAGCAGGAUAAUCGUCACUUAGAGAAGAAGGGUAUGGGAUACCAUGGCAAUUGGCUUUAGUGCAAGUGGGAGAUUGAAAUUAGUAUUCACACAAGCCAAUCAUGUUUGAUGAUAAAGCAUAUACUUUGUAACUAUCGUACUCAUUUAUUAAUAAAAAGUAUUAAUUUAUUAAAGGCUUUUAAUUAUCUACAUAAUACUGCUUUAUAAUAUGUGAUAAACCCAUAGUCUUAAGCAAUACUUUUAGAAUAAUGAUGAUGAUCAUCCUAAUGAGAUCUAAAUUCUUAGAAAGCUUAAAAUUAAAAUAGUUCUCAAUCGUUGGAUUACUAAAUUGGGGAUUAGUAAAUCCGGAUAGAUUGGUACAUAUGUUGCUUGCUCAUUGGAUGAGGAUGAUUGAUCUCAUGAUGUGGAGACAUUAAAGCAUGUAUGUAGGUGCUUAUUGGAGAAUAAGUUCACUGAACGUGGCUCGCUAAGGAAUACCUAAUGGAUUUUUACUUGCCUGUCAAU